rnacentral:tRNA from 1 species
GUGGCUCAGCCGUAGAGCAUGGCGCUUGCAACGCCAAGGGUCGUGGAUUCAAUUCCAUC